AACUAUUGUCAAAGAAUUCCUCAUAUUUCCUAACCGGUGCAUAACAAUGGCACAGGCAAUAUGUGACAAGGUCUCCAGUGAAUCACUCUGCACUUCCUUAGUGAAGGAUAAAGAAGUCCAUGGACAAGGGAGAUCUGUGAUAUCAGCAUGAGUGUGGCAAUUUAUUUUUGAGAUGGCUAGCGUGUGGUAUUUUGGGUGGGAAACAAGUGCAUCAUGCCAGUCCUGGGAUGGUCCCCCUGGGUGGAGCUGCCUGGUCCUUAUAAAAGGAGUCUCCAUCACAGGGCUGUCAUUGUCGUGACAGUCAAAGGUCUUCUUUGGAGCCUCUGAUUCUUUGACACCCAGGAAGGAUGUCUCACCACCAUCAUCCACAUCAGCAUCAGCAGCAUCACCAUCAGGUCAAGGAGCCCUGCCAUCCUCCUCCAAAAGUGUGCACACAGAAGUCCCAUGAGCCUUGCCCACCUCAUCCAUGCCCACCUCCAGUGAGCCAGCAGAAAUGCCCUCCUGGGCCACCAUGCCCACCAUGCAAGCAGAAGUGUCCACCCAAGUGAAAGUAAAGGCACCAAGAUCCAGGCUCUUCCAUUGUCCUCCCUUCGACCAUGGUGACGGAUUCUAUCUUCCUUAAUCUUCCUCCUGGAGUGACAGCCGACAGAGAAAAGGCUUGGCUCCUGAAGCUGACACCACGUUGUUGGAAGAGCAGCAGGAUCAUCGCUUGAUCCUCUUUGCCAUGUGCCUGUCUGUUAUCCGCGUGUGAUCUCUACCCUUGAGCCCUUAGUGUGUCUAUUCCUUUGCUGCUCCAAUAAAGCAUAUUCAUAGCCCA